rnacentral:rRNA from 1 species
CCGGACCUGACUGCUAUCGGAUUGGUACUAAGCCAUGCGAGUCGUUGUAGCAAUACAAGGCGGACGGCUCAGUAACACGUAGUCUACCUAACCUAUGGACGUGGAUAACCUCGGGAAACUGAGAAUAAACCGCGAUAGAUCAUAAUGCCUGGAAUGGCUUAUGGUUAAAAUAAUUUAUUGCCGUAGGAUGGGACUGCGGCCUAUCAGCUUGUUGGUGAGGUAAUGGCCCACCAAGGCUAUAACAGGUACGGGCUCUGAGAGGAGAAGCCCGGAGAUGGGUACUGAGACACGGACCCAGGCCCUAUGGGGCGCAGCAGGCGAGAAACCUUAGCAAUGUGCGAAAGCACGACUAGGUUAAUCCGAGUGAUUUCUGUUGAAGAAAUCUUUUGUUAGUCGUAAAACCACAGACGAAUAAGGGGUGGGCAAGUCUGGCGUCAGCCGCCGCGGUAAUACCAGCACCUCGAGUGGUCAGGAGGUUUAUUGGGCCUAAAGCAUCCGUAGCCGGCUAUGCAAGUCUCCGGUUAAAUCCAACUGCUCAACAGAUGGGCUGCCGGAGAUACUACACAGCUAGGGAGCGGGAGAGGUAGACGGUAUUCUGUGGGUAGGGGUAAAAUCCACUGAUCCAUAGAGGACCACCAGUGGCGAAGGCGGUCUACCAGAACGCGUUCGACGGUGAGGGAUGAAAGCUGGGGGAGCAAACCGGAUUAGAUACCCGGGUAGUCCCAGCUGUAAACGAUGCAAACUCGGUGAUGCAUUGACUUAUGGUCAAUGCAGUGCCGCAGGGAAGCCGUUAAGUUUGCCGCCUGGGAAGUACGGACGCAAGUCUGAAACUUAAAGGAAUUGGCGGGGGAGCACCACAAGGGGUGAAGCCUGCGGUUCAAUUGGAUUCAACGCCGGA